rnacentral:rRNA from 1 species
GAUUACAGCCAUACCACCCUGAACAAGCCCGAUCCCAUCUGAUCUUGGAAGCUAAGGAGGGUCGGGCCUGGUUAAUACUUGGAUGAGAGACCACCUAGGAAGACCAGGCGCUGUAGGCG